ACUUUCUCCAUUCCAUUUUUCUUUACUCUCCAGAUGCUGAGCCUGGGAAAGGAGCAUUCUGGCGCAGGAGCCCACAUCCUUCUUUUUAGGGCAGUCAGCGGCACAGAGGAGUGAUUCCAGGGACUCAGUCUGGAAACAGUAAAAAUCAAGGCAUUCGAGAUGGAAAUGAAAAGGACCAGAAACUGUAGGAAGAGAAAGGAAAGGGGAAGUAAUUGUGCACAACAUUCGAAGAGCUUUCGGAACUCUGCCUGAGUUACCAACAACCGAAGCUAAAGCUUGUUUGUCUCCACUUGGCUCGGUUUCUCCACACGGUUUCUAGAGCGCACUUCCCUAGCUCAGUAUUUCCGGGGUUCUUAGCGUAGGACGGGCACUUGCAAGCGGGGCUGCUCUCCUUCAGGGCUCUCUCUAGUCACCGGCGGUGGUACAGGAGGGGCACCGCGCCCGCCGCCUCAGGGGAGAUUCUGGGCUGUUCACCGUUCUGGAAUACUCGGACCAGUGAUAUUAUUACCGUUUUUCAUGACCAAGGUGAUUUCUUAAGCCAAAACCAAAAAGAAACGGCUCCAAAUGAGAACACUAGAGCAGCGGGCUGUGCGCGCUGGCUGAGUGGGGAUGGCGCCGGCGACAACGCACCCAGCUGCUGCCUUGGCUCCCUGCCGGCCGACAGGCGCUCGGCAGUGGGCAUCGAGGCGCGGAGGGUGCAAUGGUGCCGGCCUGGAAAGCAUAACGUGAAACGACCUCCAGCUUCCUCCCAGCGGCAGGUUUAAGGUAAGUCUCUCCUUUCCUAAGGAUGAUAUCCCUCCCCCAAAGCCUUCAAGGGUUCAGACAGUUCCAGGACUCUUGUAAUAUUAGGAACGUCGCGAUGAUCCCGCUUGAGCUCUUUGCCAGCGGCUGAGUGGCAAGCGCCUUAAUGCAUUUCGGGGCCAGGCACGCCUGGGCUGAGUCCUGGCUUCUGGACUUGAUUUGAGCCAGCAUCUUGGCCUCGUGAAGUUUGUUUUUACGUUUGAAAAACUGGGACCUAUGCCCAAUAAGGGUUUGAAAGUGCCGCUUCUAGCCCUGGUGAGCCUUAUCGCUGUGUAUUUGUCUUGGGGGAAAUCCCGUCAUUUUUUUUCCCUAGAAACGCGGGAUGUGAUGGAACUCCCAUCCCCUCUUUCCAUUAAGUGUGACUUCCUAGGCGACCCCCUGCCUCCCCUAACCGCCGAUUCUGGGGUCUCCAAGUCCAUCCCUUCCGUCUCACAAGCGAUUUGUUCCGAAAUUUGCAUUCUCCCACCCAGUGGGCGAGACCUGACCCUUGCAUUCUUGAGACUGUGUUCCAGUCUGUCCCUAACCCUCUCGCUGCACGUCUCAGAAGCCAACAUUAGACGGCCCCACAUUAGACGGUCCAAGAGGACCAGAACCUACGCAAAAACCCUGACUCCUGAUGCCAGUGGAGCAAGGUCUCCUAUUCACCUGCCAAACGAGCCAGGCCCCACAUGCAUGACUAGGGGGCUUGGGAGUGGAAAUGAUGCAGUGGCUAGCUGGUCACAGGGACCCAGGGGCGACAACAACUGGCCCGUGGAAGAACCCAGGGAUUUGGGUCCUAGGGAGCCGCCUAGGCUUGGGGUCCUUAGCCCCUCCCCCUGCCUUCACCCACGCAGAGAAGGGUUCAAGAUUGGGCCCCUCUUACCGCGUGCUGCUUCCAAAGGAAUCCUGCAUUGUGCGUCAGGCUCUUUUUAAAAUUUUUUCACUAAGGAAAUUAAACAUCUUG